CGAGCGUUGUCCGGAAUUAUUGGGCGUAAAGAGCUCGUAGGCGGCCUGUUGCGUCCGCUGUGAAAGCCCGGGGCUUAACCCCGGGUCGGCAGUGGAUACGGGCAGGCUAGAGGUAGGUAGGGGAGAAUGGAAUUCCCGGUGUAGCGGUGAAAUGCGCAGAUAUCGGGAGGAACACCGGUGGCGAAGGCGGUUCUCUGGGCCUUACCUGACGCUGAGGAGCGAAAGCGUGGGGAGCGAACAGG
rnacentral:rRNA from 1 species